rnacentral:snoRNA from 1 species
GCUUUGUGAUGAACCCCAUGCAUGUCAUCUGAGGCUGGCUUCCCUGCUAUCUUAGCCCAGGUAGUGUUCUACUUCCCAGGGAUAUUGUCUGGCCUGGCAGAGAGGUCUUGGGCAAAGGAUCAGGCCUUGUAUUCUGAGAGU